AAUGUAAAAAUCUUGAAGUAAAUAAUGAGAUAAAUCUAAAUUUCGUAAAUUGUAUCAUUCUACAUACACUUUUCAACUAACAUUGUUAAAUAGCUUUGGGUGUCGACUUUCAGGUAAUUUCUAAACGACAGUGCGUACCCCUUGGCGACCCUCGUUGAAUUUUGUGCUCCAUUUAAAUUCACAGGCAUUCGGUCAGCGGACAUUAAAAACGUUGUGUUUUUGUAAAAAUGGUCAAAGCUCUGAUAGUAGUAUUCGUACUGGGUGUGUUAUCAGGUCAGGGUUCACAAGCUAUAGACUGCUGUGAUAGUUAUACGGAUGUACUAGGCUACUAUCAUCCAUCACAGUUAUGUCUUGACUACUGCUGCUGGACAAUAGGAGUGGCAUACAAAGGCUGCUGUAGCAAUAUAUUAAGACUGAUUCCCUCCUCUGAAAAUAAGACCCACGAAUGUUUUGACCACUGGGUUAAUGAGAACGAAUGGUGGCUCAAAUGGUUGGUAACGCUGAUUCCUGUUGGUAUUUUUUGGUGCUUAUCAAGUUUUUGUCGUUGCUUCAUAUGGAUCUUGCGCUUUUGAUUAUAUAUACCAACAUCAUCAUCUACAGCUGCUAUGACUAGUACUUACAACAUGCAGUUUCACGAUGAGUUUGACUAAUAGAAGACAUCAAUACUUAGCAAAUAACGGAAUAACAGGAAUGGACACAACAUUCAGAUGGGAAAAAAUAUUGAACUAGUUUUAAAAACAAACCAUUGUAUUUCGUAUCGAAAUACUUGUAAACAGGCAAAUAUAUGCAAUAUUUAGCUCACCUGAGCGCGAAGUGCUUAAGGCGAGCUUUUGUGAUCGCCUUUGUGUCCGUCGUCCGUCAUCGUCCGUCGUCAACAAUUUGACUGUUAAGACUCUAGAGGUCACUUUUUGGCCCAAUCUUAAUGAAACUUGGCCGGAAUGUUACCAUCAAUAAAAUCUUGGACGAGUUUGAUAUUGGGUCAUCUGGGGUGAAAAACUAGGUCACCAGGUCAAAUCAAAGGAAAAGCUUGUUAACUCUCUAGAGGCCAAAUUUAUGACAAUAUAUCUAUGACACUUUGUCAGAAUGUUAAUCUUGAUGAUUUUUAGGUCAAGUUUAAAUCUGGGUUAUGUGGGUUGAAAAACUAGGUCACCAGUUUAAGAAAAUCAAAGGAAAAGCUUGUUAACGAUCUAAAGGCCACACUUAUGACUGUAUCUUCAUGAAACAUGGUCGGAAUGUUAAUCUUCAGGAUUUUUAGAUCAAGUUUGAAUCUGGAUUAUGUGAGAUCAAGAACUAGGUAACCAGGUCAAAUCAAAGGAAAACCUAGUUAACACUCUAGAGGCCACAUUUAUGACAACAUCUUAAUGAAACUUGGUCAGAAUGUAAAUCUUAAUGAUCUUAAAAUCAAGUUUUAAUCUAAGUCAGGUGGACUCAAAAACUAGGUCACCAGGUCAAAUCAAAUGAAAAGCUUGUUAACAAUCUAGAGGCCACAUUUAUGACCAUAUCUUCAUGAACCUUGGUCAGUAUGAUAUUUUUUAUAAUUUUUAGGUCAUGUUUGAAUCUAGAUCAUGAUGGAUCAAAAACUAGGUCACCAGGUCAAAUCAAAUGGGAAGCUUGUUUACACUCUGGAGGCCACAUUUAUGACCAUAUCUUCAUGAAAAUUGGUCAAAAUGUUAUUCUUGACGCUCUUUAGGUCAAGUUUGAAUCUUGGCCAGACGGGUUUAAACUAGGUCACCAGUUCAAAUCAAAUGUAAAGCUAGUUAACACUAUAGAGUCCUGAGUUUAAAUUUAAAACUCAUGAGAAUUGAUCAGAAUGUUUGUCUUGAUGACUUCUAGGUCAAAGUCGAAUCUUGGUCAUGUGGGGUCAAAAACUAGGUCACCAGUUCAAAUCAAAUGAAAAGCUUGUUAAUACUUUAGAGACCACAUUUAUGACUAUAUCUUAACGGAACUUGGUCAGAAUGUUAUUCUUGAUGAUCUUUAGGCCAAGUUUGAAUCCAGAUCAUGAUGGAUCAAAAACUAGGUCACCAGGUCAAAUCAAAUGAAAAGCUUUUUAGCACUCUGGAGGCCACAUUUAUGACCAUAUCUUCAUAACACUUGGUCAGAAUGUUAUUCUUGAUGAUCUUUAGGUCAAGUUUGAAUCUAAAUCAUGAUGGGCCAUGUGAGGUCAAAAACUAGGUCUUCAGGUCAAAUCAAAGGAAAUGCUUGUUUACUCUUUGGCGUCUAUAUUUAUGACCCUUCAUGAAACUUGGUCAAAAAUUUGUCUUGAUGAUCUUUAGGCCAAAUUCCAAUUUGGAUAGGGUGGGGUCAAAAACUAGGUCAUAUGCUGAAAUCAAAGGAAAAGCUUGUUAACAGUUUAGAAGCCACAUUUAUAAUACUAUCUUCAUGAAACUUGGUCAGGAUGGUUAUCUUGAUAAAUCUCUACGUCAUGUUUGAAUCUGGGUCAUAUGUAGUCAAAAACUAGGUCACCCGGCUUGAAAUUUGGAUGACGUGUACAAUUUUGCACACUUAUCUUAUAACUGACUUUCAGUGACCAUGAAUGUGACCUACUGACCUACUUUCUUGUUUUUUAAGAUACAGCCUUGAAAUUCUUAAUCGUGACUUACUGACCUACUUUCUUGUUUUCGAAGAUACAGCAACGAAAUUUGUAUUACAUGUAUAAUAUUUUGUAUGGAUUUCAGUACUCAUAUUGACAUAUUGAAUAGCCUUAAGUCUGACCUACUUUCAUGUUUUGAAGUUAUAGCAACGAAAUUAGGAUAACAUUUAUAAUAUUUGAUACAGAUUUCAGUACUCAUCUUUAAUAGCCUUAAUUGACUUACUUGUUUUGAAGUUACAACAACAAAAUUUGGACCACAUGUAUAGUAUUUGAUACAGAUUUCAGUACUCAUAUUAAAUAGCCUUAAUCGUGACCUACCAACAUACAGUCAAACUUGCUUUAUACGAACUCGUCGGGUCCAGGGAAAUAUGUUCGUAUCAAACGAAAUUCGUAUUAACGAAUAUAUGACUCCCGGAUAAUUUGCUCGAGCAAGUUGGACAGUAUCACCGGUAUCGCAAUGUGUGUGUUUUGAAUUUUUCAGUAAUAAUCUCAUCAUUUACGUCUGCACUCUCUCCACAAAUUCGCCUAUAAACAAUAUUGUGUCGUUUUUUAAACUUGUCAAUAAAUCCGAUUGUAGCAAUAAAGUCAGUAUGGCCUAACAGUUUCGCAAACUCAUUGGCCUUUCCCUUCAGAAAUUCUCCACUUAAUGAGAUAUGUAAUUUAUUAUUUCAAUUUUUGUGUCCAAAGAAAUUGCUUUUCUUUUUAUGCCAGACUUUGGAUACUAAAAGUACACUACAUGGCCCUAAAACGUACAAUAAAAUUAUAGUUUCAUGGACAGGCGUACAAAUGAAAGUGAUUAUAGUUCAAUUGCUAAAGACAUUAUUACUUGGACUCGAUUGUAAUGAACAAAAUAACUGCAUACAUAGUGUUAAUCUCUUUAUUAUGUAUUUGUCGAUUACAGGUGAUAAUCACUUCGAUUAGAUAUCAGCACUGUACAGAUUCAAACUGUUAAAAAAUCAAGCGUAUCAAAAAAUGGUCGCCGACUUCUAAAAGUAGUUCGUAUCAAAAACUGGAAACUUAUAACAUUUUAGCUUAUUUGGACUUCCAACAUGUGUACGUAUCUCCCGAAAAUUCGUAUGAAGCGAUUUCGCUAUUACCGAAAUAAUUUUACAAAGAAAUAGAAGGACUCGGCCGGGGAAUCCGUAUUUUGUUCGUUAUAGCCGAAAAUUCGUAUCAAGCGAGUUCGUAGUGGACUCGACUGUACUUUCUUGUUUUUGAAUGUACAGCAUAGAAAAAUGGAUCACGUGUAUACAUGUAACUUUCGAUACAGAUUUCAAUACUCAUAUUUUAUAUUCUUAACCCCGACAUACUGACCUACUUUCUUGUUUUUGAAGCUACAGCAAAGAGAUUUUGUCCACCUAUAUAAUUUUUUAACAGAUUUCAGUAGUUACCUUGAAUAAUCUUUACCAUGACCUAUUCACCUAGUUUUUAGCUCGCCUUACAGCAAGGUCAAGUUUGAAACUGGGUCAUCUAAGUGUGCAAUAAUCAUAAAUGGAAUAAAAGACACAAACAUCGAAAAUGAAGCCACUGCUAUCGUACUUUUCCAAUUUAAAACAGCACCCUGUUUCUUGAGCGCUAGAAUAACACUCAUAUAAAACUCUAGAAGUCACAUUUUCUACUAGAUCUUCAUAAAACUUUGUCAAAAUGUUUGUCUCUAUGAAAUCAAGGCCAACUUAGAUUCUAACUUAUAAGUGUUUAGAAUUAAGUUAGGUGAGCGAUAUAGGGCCUUCAAGGCCCUCAUGUUUUCAUAUAUUGAUCAUGUAAAUAACAUCAGAUAUUUGGGGGCCUAUUUGGACGAAACUUUAACUUUCAAAGAGCAUAUAAAAAUAAAGUGUAGAACGGCAAUGUUGAAUUUUUUCCGAAUCAAAAACAUUCGCAAAUAUUUGACUCAGGAUGCAACUGAAACCUUAGUGCUAUCGCUGGUUAUUUCGCAUUUAGACUACUGUAAUGUUAUUUUAUACGGUACUUCUGAUUGUGACAUCGCAAAACUGCAACGCAUUCAAAAUAUGUGUGCGAAGUUAGUUCUGAAUCGUAGAAGAAGAGACAGUUCUAAGCAGGCACUCUACGAUUUGCACUGGCUGCCGAUCAAAGCCAGAAUAAACUUUAAGAUCUUGACGUACAUGUUCAAUUGCCAUGUUGGAAAUGCGCCUGCAUAUUUGAUUGAACUCUUAACACCGAAAAUCCCCCAGCGCUCCCUCAGAUCCUCGGAGUCAUCAGUUGACUGUUACAUCGUCCCUUUCAACAAGCGAAAAACUUUUAGUGAGAGAAGCUUUAGUACUAUAGGGCCAAAGUUGUGGAACAAUUUGCCGUUGAACAUCAGACAAAGUUCUUCAAUUGACUGCUUUAGGAAAAGGUUGAAAACGCAUUUCUUCAGAGACUACUUUGCAUUAUUCUAAGUUUUGACUGAGUUUUGAACAAUGAUGCUGGUGACAGUGAUAGAAAUUUAAUGUUUGUCUGUGAUAAUUGUAUGUUAGUAAUAUUUUAAAAUAUAGUAUUAUCAUUGACUUUAAAUUAAUAAUUGCUAUUUUGAUUCGUUUUAAUUAAUCUUAUUUAAAAUAUUUUAUAUUUAAUAUUUUAUUUCAACUUGUAUUGUAAAACGCCAUUGAAUAUGUUUUAAAUGUAGAAAUAGGCGUUUAAGCAAAUAAACCAGUUUCAGUUUCAGUUUCAGUAAAUUGCACAUAGCGUAAGUAAAUAUAUAUCCUGGAUAAACUAAUAUCAGUGAAAACGUUGGUGCCCUUCGAGCAAUUUUCCGGUGCUUGCUUUAACAUUCUUUCAAGAAUAUUAUUGACUGUUCGGGUAAAAGAAAAAAAACUGUAUUUUUUCAAGAUUUUGGUAACAUGUGCCCUUUUAGCGACAUUUUCCUGAAAUUGGGAAAUAUUUCGCUUUUCUGUUUCCGUAGGUUUUGCUGUUAAGGACGCAGUGUCUGUGUUAAUUAGUGAUUUUGAUGAGGUUUUUUUUGUAUCCAGAAUCAUUUUUAUUAAUUAUCUUUUUUUCUAUUUCGUUAGAAGACACUUGUUGCUGAGUGUGCCUCUUUCUCAGUUCCACUUUUCAUUUCGGUAGGAAAUGUUUUAUGCGUCUUUUGUUUGCCCUUCAGUCUGUCUAAAUUUUCUCAUAUGUAAUUCUACCGUAAAGGUUUUGCGUAUAACGAGUUCUUGUAAACAUAAGUGUAUUAAUACAUAAUUCAUUGUUUGAAAAGUGUCUAUCACAUAUAGGUUCUUGACUAUUUUUACUUUACCUAAAUGACCACCUAACAAAAUUUUCAUCGUCCUAUUUCCACAAUUUCGUAGCUAGCUUUUUGAUAGUUUUGGAAAACGACGUCUAAUGAUUUGAGUGUGAACGACUUAAAUUACUUACAGCCUUGUUAAACUAAUAUUGGCCUAUUUAUGUUAGUUCUACAAGGCCACAAAUUCCUCAUCAUACAAACAUAUUAAUCAUUACCUAUGACACGAAAAUCUCAAUUUUGCCAAAUACGGACUCGCAGAAAUAACGAAAUUUUAACUUUAGAUAAUUAAAUAUAUCACUUUGCAAAGAUUUUAUUUAUGAAAAGCAUUGUAAUAUACAUAUUUAUUCUAUAUGUAA